GGAUUCAUCCGUUGGUCGGGCUUUACGGUCCGCACUGGUGUGAUGGGUUCCUACCUUCUGAAUAACCGGCAUGCCAUUAAUUUGGUGCGCCGGGGAAGCAGAACUAUUACCUUGAAAAAAUUAGAGUGCUUAAAGCAGGCCAGUGCCUGGAUAGGUUAGCAUGGAAUAAUAAAAUAGGACGGCAUGGUUCUAUUUUGUUGGUUUCUAGGAUUGACGUA
rnacentral:rRNA from 1 species